rnacentral:rRNA from 1 species
UCCAGACUCCUACGGGAGGCAGCAGUGGGGAAUAUUGCACAAUGGGGGAAACCCUGAUGCAGCAACGCCGCGUGAAGGAAGACGGUUUUCGGAUUGUAAACUUCUGUUCUUAGUGAAGAAGAAUGACGGUAGCUAAGGAGCAAGCCACGGCUAACUACGUGCCAGCAGCCGCGGUAAUACGUAGGUGGCAAGCGUUGUCCGGAUUUACUGGGUGUAAAGGGCGUGUAGCCGGGCUGACAAGUCAGAUGUGAAAUCCCGUGGCUCAACCACGGAACUGCAUUUGAAACUGUCGGUCUUGAGUAUCGGAGAGGCAGGCGGAAUUCCUAGUGUAGCGGUGAAAUGCGUAGAUAUUAGGAGGAACACCAGUGGCGAAGGCGGCCUGCUGGACGACAACUGACGGUGAGGCGCGAAAGCGUGGGGAGCAAACAGGAUUAGAUACCCCCGUACAC